rnacentral:rRNA from 1 species
UACAGAGGUCUCAAGCGUUGUUCGGAUUCAUUGGGCGUAAAGAGCUCGUAGGCGGUCUGUUGCGUCCGCUGUGAAAUCUCGGGGCUUAACCCCGAGCCUGCAGUGGAUACGGGCAGACUAGAGGUAGGUAGGGGAGAAUGGAAUUCCCGGUGUAGCGGUGAAAUGCGCAGAUAUCGGGAGGAACACCGGUGGCGAAGGCGGUUCUCUGGGCCUUACCUGACGCUGAGGAGCGAAAGCGUGGGGAGCGAACAGG